GAAAAUAUCUGGAUUCAAACCUGAGCGAUCUGAGGAAAGACGUUAAAGGCAACCUUCAAUAUUUAAUUUUUACAUUCGUGCACAAUCAGUAGUCGUAGGUUGACAGCGAGGCAAAAUAUUUCUCAAUUCGAAAAUCAUUAGUUCGUUGAAGACAACGAAGCUCCCAUCACUUUCUCCCAAUGUGAAUUUCAAACGUAUGCAACGUUUGCCUGAAAAAAAUAUGGCUGAACAGGACUAACACUUACAGAACAGAAUGCUGCCUAAAUUCCAUCAGGAGAUCAACUGGAGUGAAACCACAGAAACCUGCUACUGUAAGGCAUAAGGCAUUACAAAUCUGUCUUCACAUACCUUCAAUCUCUAUUUCUUCAGACAUUCAAGCAAGCAAAUCACAAGCCUGCAAUGUCUCAAUACUUCAUCUUGAAAGAAGCAGCCAUGGUUCUGAAUUUUUGGAUUUCUACACCCAA